rnacentral:rRNA from 1 species
AUGAACGCUGGCGGCGUGCAUAACACAUGCAAGUCGAACGGAGAAUAUACGCUUCAGAAGCUUCGGCAGAUGAUUGUAUAUUCUAGUGGCGGACGGGUGAGUAACGCGUGGGCAACCUGCCUCAUACUGGGGGAUAACAGCUGGAAACGACUGUUAAUACCGCAUAAGCGCACAGUGUCGCAUGACACAGUGUGAAAAACUCCGGUGGUAUGAGAUGGGCCCGCGUCAGAUUAGCCAGUUGGCGGGGUAACGGCCCACCAAAGCGACGAUCUGUAGCCGGCCUGAGAGGGCGGACGGCCACAUUGGGACUGAGACACGGCCCAAACUCCUACGGGAGGCAGCAGUGGGGGAUAUUGCACAAUGGAGGAAACUCUGAUGCAGCGACGCCCGCGUAAGUGAAGAAGUAUUUCGGUAUGUAAAGCUCUAUCAGCAGGGAAGAAAGGCUCGUAAGAGAGAUGACGGUACCUGACUAAGAAGCCCCGGCUAACUACGUGCCAGCCGCGGC